GGGCGUGUGGCCUAGUGGCUAAGGCGUCUCCCUCCGGAGGAGAAGGUCGAGGGUUCGAACCCCUCCUCGCUCG
rfam:Allomyces macrogynus ATCC 38327 genomic scaffold supercont3.47, whole genome shotgun sequence.